rnacentral:tRNA from 1 species
CAAGGGGUAGUUUAAAUAAAAUAUUAAUUUUGGGGAUUAAUGAUGAGAAAUUUUCUUUCCUUUGA